UAUAUGUUGAUGUAUUGAGAUAGAUAAUUAAAUAUCAGUGUAUUGUAUUAUUUUAACUUCAUUAAAGUUACGCUAAUAGAAAGAACUUAGAAUAUUCUUCGGCUUGAACUUUAGAAAAUUAAUUAUAGAUUUGGGUGUUUAUAUACUCGUUAAUGUACAAAUUUUAUAUACUUCAUAGAAUUGAAAGGUUUGGAGGCAUUAAGGAAAGGAAAAGUAAUGAGAA
rnacentral:misc_RNA from 1 species